GAGUAAUCCUCCAUGGUGACGUUUAACCAAAGUUUAACCACAUUUCAGUUUAUUCCCUGUUGUUGUUUAGAGCAGAUGUGAGGCUGAGAGUAUCUUGAGGUUCAAGCCCACCCAGGCAGAACAAUAUCUGCACAUUAGCCACGUCUUUCAGUCCAACCUAAACUCUGACCAUCCAGCAACAAUUAUUAAUGAAAACAAAGAAGAACAACGACCCUCGAGAGGUGUUCUUCUAAAAUAAGAAUAUAAGAAUGUGUAAUUUUAUAGUGAGGUUUUUUGAGACCCUCAACCACCUGAUUCCACUUUGCUUUUAAGGAGAAGGAAGCCAGUUUGGAAGACAGCCUGCCCGCACAAUACUUGGAGGAUUCCAGCUCGUCUUUGGAGGAAAGGUUCAGGGGCCGGCGUGGAGGGCUUCCGCUACAAUUUUCAACCGCAGCAAUGUCAACUGGAGCCAAAUCGCAAUAAGUGGAGCAUUUAAGAGAAAGGACAACCAGCAGAUGAUUGACAAGAGCUGCUGGCACUUCUGACUGUUGUUCUAACGUCUUAAAGUGACGGUAAGAUGACAAUGUUCUUUCACAGUUUACUUGUAGAUGAUCAUAGUGUGAUUGUGAAUAGAUUUUUUGACAAUUUGCUUGGUUCAUCAACUGUU
ensembl:lncRNA